AACGUAGGGGGCCAGCGUUGCUCGGAAUUACUGGGCGUAAAGGGUCCGUAGGCGGUGUGGCAAGUCGGAGGUGAAAUCUCUGGGCUUAACUCAGAGGCUGCUUCCGAAACUGCUGUGCUAGAGGAUGAGAGAGGCGAGUGGAAUUGCGGGUGUAGCGGUGAAAUGCGUAGAUAUCCGCAGGAACAUCCGAGGCGAAAGCGGCUCGCUGGAUCAUUUCUGACGCUGAGGGACGAAAGCUAGGGGAGCAAACAGG
rnacentral:rRNA from 1 species